GAACGCUGGCGGCAGGCCUAAUACAUGCAAGUCGAACGCCGUAGCAAUACGGAGUGGCAGACGGGUGAGUAACACGUGGGAACGUGCCCAAAGGUACGGAACAACUCCGGGAAACUGGAGCUAAUACCGUAUGUGCCCGAGAGGGGAAAGAUUCAUCGCCUUUGGAUCGGCCCGCGUCUGAUUAGCUAGUUGGCGGGGUAAUGGCCCACCAAGGCGACGAUCAGUAGCUGGUCUGAGAGGAUGACCAGCCACACUGGGACUGAGACACGGCCCAGACUCCUACGGGAGGCAGCAGUAGGGAAUAUUGGACAAUGGGCGAAAGCCUGAUCCAGCCAUGCCGCGUGAGUGAUGAAGGCCUUAGGGUUGUAAAGCUCUUUCGCCAGGGACGAUAAUGACGGUACCUGGAUAAGAAGCCCCGGCUAACUUCGUGCCAGCAGCCGCGGUAAUACGAAGGGGGCUAGCGUUGUUCGGAAUUACUGGGCGUAAAGCGUAUGCAGGCGGAUCGCUAAGUCAGGGGUGAAAUCCCGAGGCUCAACCUCGGAACUGCCUUUGAUACUGACGAUCUUGAGUCCGGGAGAGGUGAGUGGAACUGCGAGUGUAGAGGUGAAAUUCGUAGAUAUUCGCAAGAACACCAGUGGCGAAGGCGGCUCACUGGCCCGGUACUGACGCUGAGAUA
rnacentral:rRNA from 1 species